ACAUACGACCAUAGGGUGUGGAAAACAGGGCUUCCCGUCCGCUCAGCCGUACUAAAGCCACACGCCGGUGAGUUAGUAGUUGGGUGGGUGACCACCAGCGAAUCCUCACUGUUGUAUGUU
rnacentral:rRNA from 1 species